AUACUUACCUGGAAGGAGUUAAUGAGUGAUCAAGAAGAUCCAUGGCCUAGGUUGGUGACCUCCAUUGCACUUCGGAGGGGCGCCCGCCUAAGAUCGGCCCAAGUGGUCGAGCCUACGUCAUAAUUUGUGGCAGCUGGGGCUUGCGUUCGCGCGGCCUCUAC
rfam:Nicotiana sylvestris Nsyl_contig249417, whole genome shotgun sequence.